rnacentral:rRNA from 1 species
AGCUCCAAUAGCGUAUAUUAAAGUUGUUGCGGUUAAAAGCUCGUAGUUGGAUUUCUGUGAGGGACAGACGGUCCGCACUAUGUGCGUGAAUUGUUUUGGCCUUUGCAUCCUCCAGGGGAACGGUGCUGCGCUUGAUUGCGUGGUCCGGUAUUCUGGACUUUUACUUGAGGAAAUUGGAGUGUUUACGGCAGGCAAUCGCCUUGAACAUAUUAGCAUGGAAUAAUACUAUAGGACCUUGGUUCUAUUUUGUUGGUUUCUAGAACUAAGGUAAUGAUUAAUAGGGAUAAUUGGGGGCAUUUGUAUUAACACGUCAGAGGUGAAAUUCUUGGAUUGUGUUACGACAAACUACUGCGAAAGCAUUUGCCAAGGAUGUUUUCA